rnacentral:lncRNA from 1 species
UGAAUUUUGAGCAUGAUCCAUGAAUCAUGAAUACCAUGAGAUAUAGUAGGUUGUUUGCAUUAGUAUUCACGAAUAUGUUGCAUUACAUUUAUGAUGUUGAUGUGGAUUGGUCAUUGGAUGAUCCUUUAGUCCUCAUAUGAUAUGAUGAUGUUAUGGCAUGAUAUGGUAUGGAAGUCCAGGUUGUACCCAUUCUACGUCCCUGGCACGAUGUAAGAGGAAGUCCAGGUUGUACCCAUUCUACGUCCCUGGCACAGUUGGACUGUAUGAUAUGUUAUGUUAAGAGAAAGACCGGUUGUACCCAUUCUACGUCCCGGCACAGUUGGACUUUGU